rnacentral:rRNA from 1 species
AGUUCGGAUUGCAGUCUGCAACUCGAGUGCAUGAAGCUGGAAUCGCUAGUAAUCGCGGAUCAGAAUGCCGCGGUGAAUACGUUCCCGGGUCUUGUACACACCGCCCGUCACACCAUGGGAGUCGGGAAUGCCCGAAGCCGGUGGCCCAAUCGAAAGAAGGGAGCCGUCGAAGGCAGGCCGGAUGACUGGGGUGAAGUCGUAACAAGGUACC